CUGGCAGGACACCUGAGCCUCCUGUGGCCAUGGGAUCACACUAAAUGGCUGAUGCAAAUGCAGAUGGGAGGAAGAAGUGGCUGGCCAAGGAGCUGGACCAGGCCCAGACACAAACAGAGCCAGAGGCUCAGGGGAUGAACGGAACCUGCAGGAUUAAGAGGUCACUUGAGGCUGUCUCAUUCUUCCACCUGCCUCUAGGUGGCCAAACCUCUCCAUGCAAAGAGCCUGGAAUGCCGUGACUUGGUAUCAAUGGAGAAGAGAGUAGAAGAGAAACACCCCUUUCUCCAGUGCUGUGUGGCAGCAGAGGUCUCCAGUGUUGGCUGGAGAGCUAGUAUAUUUAACCUGAGCGGUGUGUUCCAAACAUCGGGAGUGGUUGCCAACAGGGUCUGCUCAGUGGCUGCUCAGGGCUGGAGACGGGAAGCCGGGUAAGACAGAGUGGCGCUGGAGGCUUGAAGGCCAAGAGAAGUCAAGGAGGAGUCCACGGGCUGAUCCAGGCUCUGUGUCAGGGAUCGCCUAUGUGAAGAGCUGACAGAGGAGGGCACGUCACAACCACUGUCUACACUGAGCUCAGAUGUCUGCACUACUGUGUUUGCAUUACUUCAUUGCACCAUCUCUCUGCUGUGGCCUGGAAAAGCAGUAGAGGAUGGCCCACGUCCUUGGGCCCCUGCACCCGCAUGGGAGACCUGGAAGAAGCUCCUGGCUCCUGGCUUCGGAUUUGCACAUCUCUGGCCCUUGUGGCUAACUGCUUGACCAAUGAAGUCAUCAUUUAUUCCACUGUUCCUUCCUAUACCCACACCCCAGGAUGCUAAUUAGCCAAUGGCACGUCCCCACGGCCACACUCAUAGCUUAAUGAAAGACGGUAAGAUGGUUGAAGACAUCAUGGUAAGUACUGUCUCACAGUCCAAUCUCAGGCUAUUGGAAAACAUUUGGAAGGGAAGCCUGGAGAGGCCACAGCUUUUCUUUUUAACCUCUGGAAUUGGCUGAUGUCAAAUCCAGCGCCAUUGUCAAGACAGGAAAUGCUGGGCUUCUCUGGAAAAUGUCUUAAUAAUUUCUGCCUUAUUUAUUCGAGAUAUUUGGCGAGCUUGAUGGGGAAUAAUUUUUCCAUUUGGAAAUGUGUCACAGAAUGCCGCAGACAGGAAAUCAACAGAAGGAAGCCUCAGCUUAGAGGCUGACCCAGGCGCUCUAAACAGCCUGCCCUUUGCGACACAGCCCUCACUCCCUCCGCUGCACCUGCUCAGUACCUCUAACGCCCUGGGUCCCGAGUCCACCAAUUCUUCAAGAUCUGCCUCAAGGUCACAUUUUGCUCAUGCCAGAAACUUCUUCCCCAGUACAAUGCAGACUAGACUGUACCCACUUCCCAGAGUUUUCCCAGCUAUUGUUCAUGGAUUUGGUGAGUGCUGCUUAUUCUCAUCCCGUCCAUUUCACACGACCCGACUCCCCCUUCCUACAAUUUAAAGUUGCUCCACCUUUCCCAUGUGUUAGAUUCCAAGAUGUGAAAUACUGGAGUCAAACAUAAGGAUUAUGUUAUGUUUCUUGGUAGUGUAGCUUAAAUAUUCAGAAGGCAAUGUCUUUGAGUAUCCUACCCAUUACUCUCCAUCAGGAGCCAAUGAGUUAUAGCCUGCAGGACAAAUCUGGCCCUGCAGGGUGCCUCUGUGAAUUAAGUUUUAUUGGAACGAAGUCCUGCUCACUUGUUUGCCCGUUACCUAUUGCUAAUUUUGGACCACAUCAGAGCUGAGAAGUUGCCACAGAAACUGUAUGGCCAUCAAAACCAAAAAUACCUGUGAUCUGUUCCUUUCUAGGAAAAGUUUGCUGGCCUCUGUUCUAGAUGAGAGCUAUAAAUAAGAGAUAAUAGGGACAAAAUUUUGCCAAACAAUUAGGCCUCAUGGUGGGGUGAAGAGGUUGUUUAAACUUACAAUGGAGUGAGUGGGUACAUGCUCAUAUUUCUUACUGUCUGUGCUGGGGGAGCAGGCAUACAGCUGGUGUUUAAUAAGGGCUGCUGUUGGAUUCAUAACUGCUGCUGGUGAGCAUGGGCUUGACAAUGAAUAUGGUGACAUCCCCUCCUUCCUUUUUCCUGCCCCUGGCUGUGCAUGGCUCUUGGAAUUUGUCCUGGGUGGAUAACUUCCUUUGCACACACCGGUGUAUAUAGAAAAGCAGUUCUAUUAUUUAAAUUCUCCAAGAUCAAGGAUGUAAAAUGAAGGCUGCCCCUGGCCCCACAAGACAUCCAAAUAAAUCUCACGACUUCCAAAUGUGACUGUGUCACCCUGGGAUUAAUACCGAGUAAUCCAGUGCCAACAUCAAGACAGUGAAAAUAAGCAU